rnacentral:rRNA from 1 species
GACAGAGGGGGCAAGCGUUGCUCGGAAUCACUGGGCGUAAAGGGCGCGUAGGCGGGAUGGCAAGUCAGUCGUGAAAUCCCCGGGCUCAACCUGGGAAUUGCGAUGGAGACUGCAAGGCUAGAAUCUGGCAGAGGGGGGUAGAAUUCCACGUGUAGCAGUGAAAUGCGUAGAUAUGCGGAGGAACACCGAUGGCGAAGGCAAUCCCCUGGGCCUGCACUGACGCUCAUGCACGAAAGCGUGGGGAGCAAACAGG